rfam:Camelus ferus unplaced genomic scaffold scaffold837, whole genome shotgun sequence.
GAGGGUAUAGCUCAGUGGUAGAACGCAUGCGCGGCAUGCACAAAGUCUGGGUUCAAUCCCCAGUACUUCCA